GACAAAGGAUGCAAGCGUUAUCCAGAAUGAUUAGGCGUAAAGCGUCUGUAGGCGGUUUGUCGCGUCUGCUGUGAAAAUCCGAGGCUCAACCUCGGACUUGCAGUGGGUACGGGCAGACUAGAGUGUGGUAGGGGAGACUGGAAUUCCUGGUGUAGCGGUGGAAUGCGCAGAUAUCAGGAGGAACACCGAUGGCGAAGGCAGGUCUCUGGGCCACUACUGACGCUGAGAAGCGAAAGCAUGGGGAGCGAACAGG
rnacentral:rRNA from 1 species